AGGGUUAUCGCCAAGCGGUAAGGCACAGGAUUUUGAUUCCUGCAUUCGAAGGUUCGAAUCCUUCUAGCCCUG
rfam:Epulopiscium sp. AS2M-Bin001 AS2M_MBin01_76, whole genome shotgun sequence.